AGGGAACUCCUGGGUUGACUGGUGGGUGAUCCUGCUCAUCCUUAGGUUGCAGGAUUGUUCCCCCCAGGUGGAGAGCUUGAGUCACAUUUAGUUUAUUUGUAGUGUCUUUUGGCAAAGACACUUCAGCACGCUGCCACCCCUGGUUAAUUUUUUUUUUUGUAUUUUAGUAGAGAUGGGGUUUCACCAUGUUGCCCAGGCUGGUCUCAAACUCCUGAGCUCAGGCAAUCCGCCUGCCUUGGCCUCCCAAAAUGUUAGGAUUACAGGCGUGAGCCACUGCGCCUGGACCUCAAUGGGCUCUCAGAUUCUGCUUUCCUAAGAAAGUGUGUUGAGGUAGUUCUUUUUCUGAAUGGGCUCUCAGAUUCCGCUCUCCUAAGAAAGAGUGUUGAGGUAGUUGCACCUACCCAGUGAUUAAUGAGGUUAAGCUCCUUUUCGUGUUUAACACCCAAAUUUUAAUAGACUUUAUUCUUUAGACCAGUUCAGGUUCACAGCAAAAUUGGGUGGAAGGUAGAGAGUUUCCUACCCCCAGCCCCUCCACACACACAGACUCCCCCACUGUCUACAUCCCCAUCGGAGUGGUCCAUUUGUUACAGCCGAUAGACAUACGUCAACACAUCAUUAUCACCUGGAGGCCAGUUUACAUGAGGCUUGCUCUUGGUGUUGGACAAAUGCAUAAUGACCUAUAUCCACCAAUUCAGUACCAUGCAGAAGAGUUUCACUGCCCUAAAAAUCCUGUGCCCUGCCCACUCAUUCCUCCCUCCCCUCUCAUCCCUGGCUUUUUACUGUUUCCAGUUUUCCCUUUACUGGAAUGUUGGAGAACUGGACUCCUUCAGGAUGUAGCCUUUCAUGCUUCUUUCAGCAACAUGCACCUAACUUUCCUCCCUGUCUUUGUGGCUUGAUAGCUCAUUUCUUUUUAGUGCCAAAUAAUAUUCUACUGUCUGGAUAUAUCAGUUUACUUAUGCAUUCACCUAUAUGCAUAUAAAAUAGAGGAGAGAAUGCGGUGUUGGAGAUUUACGUUUGGGAGUCUAAACCAUGUAUGGUAAAUAAGUAUAAUGUGUGAAAAUUGUAAAGCAGAAAGCUGUCAGGAUACCUGAAUACACACAAAUACACACUUCAGUUCAUGCUAUGUUAUAAAAUGUGUAAGUACAUACUUAGGGCUGAAAAAGCACCCAGAGAGGAAGGGUGAAGAAGAGGUGUGUCUGAAAUAAUAAAAAGAAAAUUAGGGCUGAGAAAGCACCCAGAGAGGAAGGGUGAAGAAGAGGUGUGUCUGAAAUAAUAAAAAGAAAAUUAGGGCUGAGAAAGCACCCAGAGAGGAAGGGUGAAGAAGAGGGUGUGUCUGAAAUAAUAAAAAGAAAAUUAGGGCUGAGAAAGCACCCAGAGAGGAAGGGUGAAGAAGAGGUGUCUGAAAUAAUAAAAAGAAAAUCUGUCAAGAGGGGAUCUGGAGUACCUCAUCCCAUGAGGAACUCCCAACCCUAGUGAGGGUCCAACGGACAGAUCCAAGAGAGAGGAUGAAACCACUGCACAAGCACCCCCUAAGGGGCAGGUGGAGGGCAGUUCCCACAGGGACCCACUUCGGGUACAACCUGGGCUUGUCCCCAGGGAGCAGGUGGAGGGCAGUUCCCACAGGGACGCACUGCGGGUACGACCUGGACUUGUCCCCAGGGAGCAGGUGGAGGGCAGUUCCCACAGGGACGCACUGCGGGUACGACCUGGACGUGUCCCCAGGGAGCAGGUGGAGGGCAGUUCCCACAGGGACGCACUGCGGGUACGACCUGGACUUGUCCCCAGGGAGCAGGUGGAGGGCAGUUCCCACAGGGACGCACUGCGGGUACGACCUGGACGUGUCCCCAGGGAGCAGGUGGAGGGCAGUUCCCACAGGGACGCACUGCGGGUACGACCUGGACUUGUCCCCAGGGAGCAGGUGGAGGGCAGUUCCCACAGGGACGCACUGCGGGUACGACCUGGACGUGUCCCCAGGGAGCAGGUGGAGGGCAGUUCCCACAGGGACGCACUGCGGGUACGACCUGGACUUGUCCCCAGGGAGCAGGUGGAGGGCAGUUCCCACAGGGACGCACUGCGGGUACAACCUGGACUGGUCCCCAGGUGCCAGGGCCAAGUAAGAAGAAAAUGUGCCUUCCUUCCUAUUAUACCAUCUUCUGUUUUGGUCUUGUUCUCUUGAUAAUACAGGUGGGGAAACAGAAUCAGCAAUUAUUAGAAGGGCCACCUCUACUUUGUCCUUAAAGGAGUUGGCAAUGGUUUGACCAGAAUCAAAGAAGUAUAUAUUUUGAAGAUUGAGAGUUUAAAACAGUUUAAGAAAAAAAAAUUUAUAGGUACCAUUUAGCUUUCUAGUUGAAAACCAACACAUCUGCCUUUGGGGUCAGAAGCAGCUAUAUCUAGGAGAGGGAUACUCCUCUUUAUAAAAGAUGAAGGAGUUCUAAGGAGUUUAUCAGGUCAAAAGACAUUCCUUAGAUUUUCUGGAUGGCAUCCUAGCAAUAUUACAACAGUAGUAUCUAACUCUUGCUAAGUACUUAACAAGGUGCUGGGUAGCAGUCUAAGGGUCCCACCCAUGUCCAAUUCAGUAGCCAUGGCAACUCACAGUUAUCACGUAACUAAUUAUAUGUGGCUUUCAGCCUAAAACUUCCUAGAAAAUAAAACUAAAAAAAUUAGAAACAAUAUUAUAAAUGCAACAGAAACUAUACAGGCAAUAUCCUAUUAGUGUAUCAAAAUUUUAACAAACUAAACACAGUAUUAAAUUGCAAUUUUUUUUACUUUUCAAUA
rnacentral:lncRNA from 1 species